CAUUUCAGCCUAACACCAUUGUCUCUGACUUGCAAACCUCCUCGAGACUUAGUGGAAAGACGAUCACAACGAUGGCGGAGCUGACUGCACUUGUGCUUCUCGGCGCAUUGGUUCUGAGUCAAUCCUACGUUCCGAUAACACUGAGCCUGGUGGAAGUUGGCGUUAACGUCACUUUGGCAUGCCCGCGCCACGACGAUAGAGGUGACAUAUUUUACUGGUACAAGAUGAAAUUCGGCUCAAUGGUCCAAACCAUUGUGGAGGGGUAUUUCGGGGAAAUGUCCCUUCGAGGACCGUUCAAGGACGGAAUAUUUGUGAGCGCGCAUACGGGUGACAUGUACGUUUUAAACAUCACAAACGUACACAAAGACGAUGAAGCGAUGUACACCUGCCAAGCUGGGACCUCAUACAACAUGGUGUUCACCGGUGGCACGCAUCUGGUGGUGAAAGAACAAGACGUGAAAGCAGCUGCCGUUUUGCUGAGUGCUCUGCUGGCCUCCUUCGCUGUUGUGGUCACUGUUUUAGUUGCUUAA